rnacentral:rRNA from 1 species
CCUACGGGAGGCAGCAGUAGGGAAUAUUGCUCAAUGGGGGAAACCCUGAAGCAGCAACGCCGCGUGGAGGAUGAAGGUUUUCGGAUUGUAAACUCCUUUUGUUAGAGAAGAGAAUGACGGUAGCUAACGAAUAAGCACCGGCUAACUCCGUGCCAGCAGCCGCGGUAAUACGGAGGGGGCAAGCGUUACUCGGAAUCCCUGGGCGUAAAGAGCGCGUAGGCGGGAUAGCAAGUCAGAUGUGAAAUCCUAUGGCUUAACCAUAGAACUGCAUUUUAAACGGUUAUUCUAGAGUAUGGGAGUGUUAGGUGUAAUUCUUGGUGUCGGGUUCACAUCCGUAGAG